rnacentral:rRNA from 1 species
UGGGGAAUUUUGCACAAUGGGGGAAACCCUGAUGCAGCGACGCCGCGUGAUUUAGAAGGCCUUCGGGUUGUAAAAAUCUUUUCUAUGGGAAGAAAAUGACAGUACCAUAGGAAUAAGGACCGGCUAAUUACGUGCCAGCAGCCGCGGUAAUACGUAAAGUCCGAGCGUUGUCCGGAAUCAUUGGGCGUAAAGGGUACGUAGGCGGGUAAGCAAGUUAGAAGUGAAAUCCUAUAGCUCAACUAUAGUAAGCUUUUAAAACUGCUCAUCUUGAGGUAUGGAAGGGAAAGUGGAAUUCCUAGUGUAGCGGUGAAAUGCGCAGAUAUUAGGAGGAAUACCGGUGGCGAAGGCGACUUUCUGGCCAUAACCUGACGCUGAGGUACGAAAGCGUGGGUAGCAAACAGG